UUUAAUUCUCUUAUCUUCCCCCUGAGAUAUUUUUAAGUACUGCUCGUAGCUGUUAUAAUUGCAUCCUUCAUUUAUAGUGUUGGUCCUUUCUCUGUUUUGAGCUGUACAUCGGAGAGGAAGUGGCUCUUACCUACGAACCAAACAGAAGGCUCCAGAGAAAAAACCUCCUCGUGAUCUUCCUUUAUCAAAGAUUCGAGGUCCGCGUGGACCGUUGUUUCUAAGAAAACAGCUGUAUGUUGAAGAAGAGGAAGCUGCAGUACUGUGAUUGGACUCUAGAUAACUUUCUAUUUGAAGGGGAGUGCCGCUGUGUAAAU